rnacentral:rRNA from 1 species
UACGGAGGGCGCAAGCGUUAUCCGGAUUCACUGGGUUUAAAGGGUGCGUAGGUGGGCAGGUAAGUCAGUGGUGAAAUCCCCGAGCUUAACUUGGGAACUGCCAUUGAUACUAUUUGUCUUGAAUACUGUGGAGGUUAGCGGAAUAUGUCAUGUAGCGGUGAAAUGCUUAGAUAUGACAUAGAACACCAAUUGCGAAGGCAGCUGGCUACACAAAUAUUGACACUGAUGCACGAAAGCGUGGGGAUCAAACAGG